GAAACAGGACCUGAUGGAGGAGACAAAGGACACCCAUACACCGCAUCUGGGGAGAUGGUUCCAGAGAGCCCUGAGAGGCAAAGCUUCUACUUACCCACAGGGUGCUACAUCAGGUGUCCUUCAUUCUGAAUGCACAGGAGAGUCACCUGGGGAGGAUUUUAAGACACCAGGGCCCUACUCUGACCAACAAAAUCAGAUUUAGGAAGAGGCCGGAGUAUCAGGAAUUUUAAAAAGCUCCUGAGGGGAGCCCAGUGAGUAGCCAGGGUUGAGAACCACUUUGCUAGAGGAAGCUGAUCUGAGAAACAAGCGGAGGUGACGGUGGGGAAGAAGGAGCUUGAAUCUCUCCCUGGUCUACCAGCAGGUUCGGGGAACAGGGGCCUGGACCUGCAGGCAGACAUUUUGCCACCACCUGAAGCAGGGGAUAAACCCAACAUGGAAGACUGUGGAGCUGAGAUACGGAGAAGAGACAAAUCUUGAUGACAUGAUUUGAGACAUUCCUGAAGUAACAGUUAUAGCUGAGCUGCCUAGAGAAAUAGACUACAAGCCUCAACUUCCAUUGCAACUGGAGCCAUGAGACUAAGUUUUGGCCAACAGGAUGCAAACAGAAGGAUGAUGUGGUAGCGUCCAGAAUCCUUAACAGACAGCAAGAACUGGCCUUUUUCUCCAUCCUUCCUCCAUUCUGCUAUCUGAAACGUGAAUGUCACCAUUUUUGACUUGAGGAUGAGGCCAUACCUGAGGAACGGGAUGGAUGGGGAGCUGGAGCUGUUGGGAUUGCAGGGAGCAGAGCCCACAUUGACUCCGGCCUGACACUUCUGCACUUCACUUAUGUGAACGAGAAAUUUGGACCGUCGCUGUGUGUCUGGGUAUAAUGUCAUCGUUCAACAUCUCUACCCUAUCCAGCUUUCCAUCAUCUGUUAAUGAGAUCAGGGUGCCAUCUGUGCCUCCAGCCAAGUCAUUAAUAAAAAUAGCAUCAGGAGAGGACCAAGGACAGCAAUCUCCAGCGUGCUCCAGAGGGCUCUCUCAUUAGGGUGCUGGUGAUCUAGCCACCUCGCCUUUGAACACAGAUAUGGGAUGGUGCGGAGGGAAGCUGGGGAGCGUCAGCCAUUGGUCGGCGGGUCUCAAACUGUAGUGUGCAUCAGAGUCACCCAGAGGGCUUGUUAAAACACAGGUAGCUGGGCCUCAUCCCCAGAGUUUCUGUUUUAUGUUUUUUUAAAAAUUAUUUUAUUGAGGUCAUUUUGGCUUAUAACGUUGUGUA
rnacentral:lncRNA from 1 species